rnacentral:rRNA from 1 species
GACGAACGCUGGCGGCGUGCCUAAUACAUGCAAGUAGAACGCUGAAGGAGGAUCUUGCUUCUCUGGAUGAGUUGCGAACGGGUGAGUAACGCGUAGGUAACCUGCCUGGUAGCGGGGGAUAACUAUUGGAAACGAUAGCUAAUACCGCAUAAGAGUAGAUGUUGCAUGACAUUUGCUUAAAAGGUGCAAUUGCAUCACUACCAGAUGGACCUGCGUUGUAUUAGCUAGUUGGUGGGGUAACGGCUUACCAAGGCGACGAUACAUAGCCGACCUGAGAGGGGGAAUGGCCACAAUGGGACUGAGACACGGCCCAGACUCCUACGGGAGGCAGCAGUAGGGAAACUUCGGAAAUGGACGGAAGUCUGACCGAGCAACGCCGCGUGAGUGAAGAAGGUUUUCGGAUCGUAAAGCUCUGUUGUAAGAGAAGAACGAGUGUGAGAGUGGAAAGUUCACACUGUGACGGUAUCUUACCAGAAAGGGACGGCUAACUACGUG